rnacentral:rRNA from 1 species
CACUUCUAAGGAAGGCAGCAGGCGCGCAAAUUACCCAAUCCUGACUCAGGGAGGUAGUGACAAGAAAUAACAAUAAACCGGCUUAUGCCGGUUUAAUUGGAAUGAGUACAAUUUAAACAUCUUAACGAGGAACAAUUGGAGGGCAAGUCUGGUGCCAGCAGCCGCGGUAAUUCCAGCUCCAAUAGCGUAUACUAAAGUUGUUGCAGUUAAAAAGCUCGUAGUUGGAUUUCUGUGGGGACGGAGCGGCCGGCCGCAACACGCGGUUCGAGCUAGCGCUUUCCCUACAUCCUGCCGCGAACCGUGCUACCAUUAAUUUGGUGGCGCCGGGGAUCGGCUCGAUUACUUUGAGAAAAAUAGAGUGUUCAAAGCAGGCCACAUGCCUUGAAUAAGUUAGCAUGGAAUAAUAACUAAGGACUUCGGUUCUAUUUUGUUGGUGUUCGGGACUGAAGUAAUGAUUGAUAGGGACAGUUGGGGCGGUCUGUAUUCCAAAGCGAGAGGUGAAAUUCUUAGACCUUCGGAAGACAAACAGCUGCGAAAGCGUUCCGCAAGGAUGUUCCCUUUGAUCAAGAACGAAAGUUGGGGGAUCGAAGACGAUCAGAUACCGUCGUAGUCUCAACUAUAAACUAUACCAGCUAGGGAUCGGCCAACGUUAUUUUAUACCGACUUGGUCGGCACCUUAUGAGAAAUCAAAGCAUCUGGGUUCCGGGGGGAGUAUGGUCGCAAGGCUGAAACUUAAAGGAAUUGACGGAAGGGCACCACCAGCCGUGGAGCCUGUGGCUUAAUUUGACUCAACACGGGAAAACUUACCAGGUCCAGACAUAGUAAGGAUUGACAGAUUGAUAGCUCUUUCUUGAUUCUGUGGGUGGUGGUGCAUGGCCGUUCUUAGUUGGUGGAGUGAUUUGUCUGGUUAAUUCCGUUAACGAACGAGACCCCAGCCUGCUAAAUAGCGCGCGUGAGCUUUGCUCGCGGCGAGCUUCUUAGAGGGACUAUGAUGCGCGAUAGCACAUGGAAGUUUGGGGCAAUAACAGGUCUGUGAUGCCCUUAGAUGUUCUGGGCCGCACACGGGCUACACUGGCGCCUGCAACGAGCAUAUCAGCUGGCCCGAGAGGGUCUUGGCUAAUCUUUUGAACCGGCGCCGUGCUUGGGAUUGACCUUUGCAAUUGUUGGUCAUGCAACGAGGAAUGCCUCGUAAACGCGAGUCAUCAGCUCGCAUUGAAUACGUCCCUGCCCUUUGUACACACCGCCCGUCGCUCCUACCGAUGAAUGUUCCGAUGAAAUUUUCGGAGAGCACCUGUGAACUUGGCUCUGCCUUGCGAACGGGAGGCUCAAAGUCACUUAAAUCUGAACAUUUCGA